rnacentral:rRNA from 1 species
UAGGGAAUUUUGCGCAAUGGGGGAAACCCUGACGCAGCGACGCCGCGUGAGUGAAGAAGGCCUUCGGGUUGUAAAGCUCUGUCAGAAGGGAAGAAUAAGUGAGUCAUAAUAAGGCUCAUGAUGACGGUACCUUCAGAGGAAGCACCGGCUAACUCUGUGCCAGCAGCCGCGGUAAUACAGAGGGUGCAAGCGUUAUUCGGAAUCACUGGGCGUAAAGCGCAUGUAGGUUGGUUAUCAAGUCAGAUGUGAAAUCCUGGGGCUCAACUUCAGAAUUGCAUUUGAAACUGAUAGUCUUGAGUCUGGCAGAGGGAGGUAGAAUUCCAGGUGUAGAGGUGAAAUUCGUAGAUAUCUGGAGGAAUACCGGAGGCGAAGGCGACUUCCUGGGCCAGUACUGACACUGAGAUGCGAAAGCGUGGGUAGCAAACAGG